CGUGUAUAAAAGGCGGCGACGCUUAGCUACCCUGUUCACAGUACAGUGGAGACCUGCUAGUGCACAAUAUUCGCAAUGGCUGCUUCGAAGGCUCUUGUAAUCCUGUCCCUUAUUGCUAGCGCCAUGAUUGUGACCCAAUGCAUGGCAGAAGAGGCCACGCCAUCAGCCGCCACGUCACCAUCUGGAGGAGGCGGUGGUUCCCCCGGCACCGGUCCCGCCGCCGCUCUCAGUCCUGCUGCUGGUCCUGCUGCGAGUCCUGCUGCGAAUCCUGCUGCGAAUCCUGCUGCGAAUCCCGCCGCGGCUGCAACUCCUUCUGCCACUACUGCAACCAGUUCCAAGUAGAGACCUAAAGGGCACAUUUGAAGCCACCGAAAUAUCUCAAGAUCGCAACUGUUGGCGCUUGUGCCCCCGUAAAUACAACAACCAGUCACUAGAGAAAGACAUCUCAAUGCGGUCUCAUUAUUGCUUUCAAACAAUAUUGAAGUGAAGCACCAACAAAACAGAGGAAAGGCAAAAUACAGAUAGCAUCGUAUCCCAAUGUUCUUCUAAUAUAAAUUGUUGAAAUUAUAAAAUGCAAAGCAGUCAUCUCUAUGAAUAAAUAAUUAUAUUCUAAAAAUU